GAUGAACGCUAGCGGCGGGCUUAAUACAUGCAAGUCGAGGGGCAGCAUGACUGUAGCAAUACAGUUGAUGGCGACCGGCAAACGGGUGCGGAACACGUACAGAACCUUCCUUCGAGCGGGGAAUAGCCCAGAGAAAUUUGGAUUAAUACCCCAUAGCAUAAUGGAGUGGCAUCACUUUGUUAUUAAAGAUUUAUCACUUGAAGAUGGCUGUGCGGCUGAUUAGGUAGUUGGCGGGGUAACGGCCCACCAAGCCUGCGAUCAGUAACUGGUGUGAGAGCACGACCAGUCACACGGGCACUGAGACACGGGCCCGACUCCUACGGGAGGCAGCAGUAAGGAAUAUUGGUCAAUGGACGAAAGUCUGAACCAGCCAUGCCGCGUGGAGGAUGAAGGUCCUCUGGAUUGUAAACUUCUUUUAUAUGGGACGAAAAAAGGCUUUUCUAAGUCGUCUGACGGUACCAUAUGAAUAAGCACCGGCUAACUCCGUGCCAGCAGCCGCCGCUGUAA
rnacentral:rRNA from 1 species